GCCCCAGUGGCGCAACCGGUCAGUGCAUCUGGCACUGGCACCUUCUGUUAAGCAGAAGGUUGGUGGUUCAAGCCCACCCAGGGAUG